rnacentral:rRNA from 1 species
CUGUGUGAAUGCAAGUGUGAACACCUGCUUAAUUUAAGCAUAUAAGUAGGCGGAGGAAAUGACACAAACAUGGAUUCACUGAGUAACUGCGAGUGACAUGUGAUUUGCUCACAGCUGAUAUUCUUUGCUGUCUGCUUUGACAUGAGGACUUUGAGUGCGGUGCCAAUGGUGGUGUAAGUGUGAGCCAUCUUGGAAAAGAGGAGAGUGUGCACUGACAAGGGUGAGAAGCCUGUGUGUGCUUGCAAAAUCUCCAUAUGGGGGUCACGCUUUGAGAAUCAUGCUCUUUGGAAGUGGAGUGUAAAGUGGGUGGUAGACUCUUCUCAAAGCUGAGUACAGAACUGGGACCGACAGGGAAGAAGUACCAUGAGGGAAGUGUGAAAAGGACUUUGGAAAGAGACUUAAAAGAGCCUGUACUUGCUGAAGGAUAUGCAUACAGCAUGCUUGCAUGUGAGAUGAUUGCUGUGUGUAUGAGUCUGACUUUGGCUGGAUGGCCAUGGCCGUGUGCCAUGGACACUUGGCCACCCAAUGUGUAUCCUCUUGUGUGUGCCAGCAUGUGGGAGACAGUCAGUGUUUGAGUGCAGUGGUUGCUGUGUCUGGGGAUACAUCAGAUGUGCACUCAAAGAUCUGAGCAUGUUGAGAAGCAGGUGCAGAAGGGCCCUCCUGUCUGUAUGACCCGUCUUGAAACACGGACCAAGGAGUCUAGCAUGAGUGCAAGCAUAUGGGACCGAAGGCUCUGUGUGCAAUGAAGGUGGAGUCCCAGAUUUGUGCAUGAGUGUUCAAACAAGCAGGAGGACAAGGUUUGAGUCUGAGCAUUCCUGACAGGACCCGAAAGAUGGUGAACUAUGCCCGGAAAGGGCCAAGUCAGGGGAAACUCUGGUGGAGGCUCGUAGCGUUACUGACGUGCAAAUCGUUCGUCACACCUGGGUAUGGGGGCGAAAGACUAAUCGAACCAUCUAGUAGCUGGUUCCCUCUGAAGUUUCCCUCAGGAUAGCUGAACUUGCAGGACUUUCACCAGGUAAAGCGAAUGAUUGGAGGAAUUGGGGGUUGCAGACCUUUGACCUAUUCUCAAACUUUUAAUGGGUGUGUUGUGUGGUUGCUUAGCUGAACCAACAGCUAAUGAUGACUCUUAGUGGGCCACUUUUGGUAAGCAGAACUGGCGAUGAGGGGUGAACCUGAUGAUGGGUUAAGGCACUGAAGUUCUUGCUCAUCAGAAACUGUAAAGGGUGUUGGCUCAUUCUGACAGCAGGUCGGUGGUCAUGGAAGUUGAAAUCCGCUUGGGAGUGUGUAACAACUCACCUGCCGAAUGGACUGGCCCCAAAAAUGGAUGGUGCUCCAGCAGGUGGCUGACACUUGUCAAGUGUGAAUUCUAACCACAAUGUGUAGGAGGGUAUGGUUGUUAGUGCCGAAACAUUGAGUGU